rnacentral:rRNA from 1 species
AUAAAUAAGCGGAGGAAAAGAAACCAAACGGGAUUCCCUUAGUAACGGCGAGCGAAAAGGGAAAUGUCCAGCACCAAGUCUUGACAUCUACGGUGUUCAAGAGAUGCGGUGUUAAUGUAUCGACCCAUCGUGCACUGUUCCACAUUUCAAGUUCCUACGACCGGGACUUCCAGAGCGGGUGUAAGACCCAUAGAGAUGAGGAACCAGUGUAUGCUGAGCGAUGCAUUCUAGAGUCAGGUUGCUUGAGAGUGCAGCUUAAAGUCGGUGGUAAACUCCAUCCAAGACUAAAUAUUACAGCGAGACCGAUAGCAAACAAGUACCGUGAGGGAAAGUUGCAAAGCACUUUGAAGAGAGAGUUCAAAAGUACGUGAAACCACUGGGAGGCAAACAGAUGGAACCACGAAGUGUGCGCCUCGGUCGAUUCAAUCAUCACCAUUUGUCAGUUUUUGGUAAUUAGGAUCUUUUMGGAGRUUGAUUGCCAAGAACUAUGAUGAAUGGUGUUGGUGCAUUUCGUGCCGGGGAUGCUAAGCCACGUUCAACUAGAGUUGGGACGGCUGUAAGAAAGAAUCCGAGAAAGGUGCCCGUCACGUGCUUGCAUUUGACGGUGUUAUAGUCUUGGAUUGGCACCGUCACCUAACAUACUGGUUGAUGCAAAUUCUCCAUUCGGAGUUGAACCAUGUCUGCCUGUGGCUGUUAGUCGAUGUUGCGUAAUGUUCUUUGCGUAUCUUUCGAUGCGAAAAGACUUUGCAAAGAUGYCGGCUAAUGGYUGCUUGCGUGACAUGGUGGAACUGUGGCGCGAGUAGGUCGGUCUCCAUCUGACCCGUCUUGAAACACGGACCAAGGAGCCUAUCAUAUACGCGAGUCGCACGGUCUUGUUUAGGCCUGUGAGGCGGAAUGAAAGUAAAGUUACGAGGCUUCGGCUGCAGUAACGGCUCGCCCACUUUGUUUAUUGGCAAUAUGGCGAAGCUGGAGCGUAUACGAUGGUACCCGAAAGAUGGUGAACUAUGCCUGGGCAAGACGAAGCCAGAGGAAACUCUGGUGGAGGUCUGUAGCGAUUCUGACGUGCAAAUCGAUCGUCAGACCUGGGUAUAGGGGCGAAAGACUAAUCGAACCAUCUAGUAGCUGGUUCCCUCCGAAGUUUCCCUCAGGAUAGCAGGCGUUUAUUUGGCAGUCUCAUCCGGUAAAGCUAAUGAUUAGAGGUCUUGGGGUUGAAACGACCUCAACCUAUUCUCAAACUUUAAAUGGGUGAGAUGGUUGACUUUCUUGAUUGAAGCCAACCAUUUGGAUGCAAAUGCCUAGUGGGCCAUUUUUGGUAAGCAGAACUGGCGCUGUGGGAUGAACCAAACGUCGAGAUAAGGCAUCAAAUGCGUACGCUCAUCAGACCCCAUGAAAGGUGUUGGUUGCUAUAGACAGCAGGACGGUGGCCAUGGAAGUCGGAAUCCGCUAAGGAGUGUGUAACAACUCACCUGCCGAAGCAACUAGCCCUGAAAAUGGACGAUGCUGUAGCGUGGAGCCGAUACUCGACCGUUAUGACGAUUCCGUUAAGAAUGCGAUGUCAUAACGAGUAGGAGGGCCGCAGUGUUAGCGUUGAAGGUGUCCGGCGUGAGCCGGCCUGGAGCUAUCAUUGUU